rnacentral:rRNA from 1 species
CCCGACUGCUAUCAGAAUAGGACUAAGCCAUGCGAGUCAACGUAGCAAUACGUGGCAUACGGCUCAGUAACACGUAGUCAACAUGCCCAGGGGACGUGGAUAACCUCGGGAAACUGAGGAUAAACCGCGAUAGGUCAUAAUAUCUGGAAUGAUUUCUGGCUGAAAUCUAUAUGGCCCCUGGAUUGGACUGCGGCCGAUCAGGCUGUUGGUGAGGUAAUGGCCCACCAAACCUAAAACCGGUACGGGCUCUGAGAGGAGAAGCCCGGAGAUGGGCACUGAGACAAGGGCCCAGGCCCUAUGGGGCGCAGCAGGCGCGAAAACUCUGCAAUAAGCGAAAGCUUGACAGGGUUAUUCUGAGUGAUUUCCGCUAAGGAAAUCUUUUGGCACCUCUAAAAAUGGUGCAGAAUAAGGGGUGGGCAAGCCUGGUGUCAGCCGCCGCGGUAAUACCAGCACCCCGAGUGGUCGGGACGAUUAUUGGGCCUAAAGCAUCCGUAGCCGGUUCUACAAGUCUUCCGUUAAAUCCACCUGCUUAACAGAUGGGCUGCGGAGGAUACUAUGGAGCUAGGAGGCGGGAGAGGCAAGCGGUACUUAGUGGGUAGGGGUAAAAUCCGUUGAUCCAUUGAAGACCACCAGUGGCGAAGGCGGCUUGCCAGAACGCACUCGACGGUGAGGGAUGAAAGCUGGGGGAGCAAACCGGAUUAGAUACCCGGGUAGUCCCAGCUGUAAACGAU